GGCAGUGGUAGCUCAGUGGUUACAGUGUUGGUUACUGCUCAGAGGGUCGUGAGUUCAAACGUCAAGCUGCCA